rnacentral:rRNA from 1 species
UGGGGAAUUUUGCACAAUGGGGGAAACCCUGAUGCAGCGACGCCGCGUGUACGAUGAAGAUCUUCGGAUUGUAAAGUACUGUCCUUGGUGAAGAUAAUGACUGUAACCAAGAAGCAAGCCCUGGCUAAAUACGUGCCAGCAGCCGCGGUAAUACGUAUGGGGCAAGCGUUAUCCGGAAUUACUGGGCGUAAAGCGCACGUAGGCUGCUUUGUAAGUCAGGGGUGAAAUCCCACGGCUCAACCGUGGAACUGCCUUUGAUACUGCUUAGCUUGAAUCCGGGAGAGGGUGGCGGAAUUCCAGGUGUAGGAGUGAAAUCCGUAGAUAUCUGGAGGAACAUCAGUGGCGAAGGCGGCCACCUGGACCGGUAUUGACGCUGAGGUGCGAAAGCGUGGGGAGCAAACAGG